rnacentral:lncRNA from 1 species
AGCCUCUUCACGCCUUCGGGCUGCUGUAGGAAGACGGCGGGGCGGAGGAAGGGAGCCGGGCUGUCCGUCGUGAUGCUCCCGAGGAGAGCUGCGGCGGCGGUCCGUGCCUGCCCGGCGGGUCGAGGCACCGCGCUGGGCUGCCGGCUGCGCGCCUGGAGCCGGGCAGCGCGAUGGAGCCCCGUGCGCGGGGAGCCGCCCUGGCGUGGCACGGAGCUGCCGGAGGAGGAGAGCUCGGUGUGAGGGUGGCUGACUGUGUGAGCCAAGUAGUUGAGGAAGAGGAAGGAAUCCACUUGGAUGACUUUUCCUGGAGGGAGAAGGACUUCUCUGAUCUAAUUGGGAAAAAGUUACUUGCAAUCAUGGACAACUGCAAGAAGCACAUCUAAGCUGGAAGAUAGGAGAGGAGCCAGCAUCUUGCCUGGAUAUUAAUGGCAGUGUCUUGUCUGACAGAGAACAGACCACCAAAGCAUGAUGAGCAAGAAAGCAAUUUCUCAUUCCUCCAUACCAGAAGACAACACCAGUUUAAGGUUUGAUGGCUUCUGAGGGUGGCUUGUGAGCUGAAGCUUCUCUCCAAACACAAGGACAGAGGCGUCUGUCACAUAACCCAUGAAGAACCAUCACCUGAAAACUGUGCAUCACCUCGUGAGAAUCUCAGUCAGGGAUCCUUCAGUGUGUGUCACAUGGACAAAAAGAAAGGGGGAAACUCCUCCUGCAUGAACACGGCCGCAGGAUUGUCUUAAAGGUGCCGAGUUCCCACAAUCCAUGUGCAGCACACACGGUCCUCUUCCCACCCAGACCAUCCCAGCAGGAAGUCCUGCUGGGCCAGCUCAGCCCCAUGGGUGCACCUGGCUGUGGACUUGCACUAACACCGCACGGCAGAAACCCUGGUGUGAGUCAUGUCCAUUUAAAUAUGGAAGCACAUCAUAAAACCUAAUGGAGAGUCCAAGAGGUG